CCUACGGGAGGCAGCAGUGAGGAAUCUUGGUCAAUGGGCGGAAGCCUGAACCAGCCAAGUAGCGUGCAGGAUGACGGCCCUACGGGUUGUAAACUGCUUUUAUACGGGAAUAACGCGCCUUACGUGUAGGGCUUUGCAUGUACCGUAUGAAUAAGGACCGGCUAAUUCCGUGCCAGCAGCCGCGGUAAUACGGAAGGUCCGGGCGUUGUCCGGAUUUUUUGGGUGUAAAGGGAGCGUAGGCCGCAUGUCAAGCGUGCUGUGAAAUGUCCGGGCUCAACCCGGGCCGUGCAGCGCGAACUGGCGUGCUUGAGUCCGCGGAAGGCAGGCGGAAUUCGUCGUGGAGCGGUGAAAUGCUUAGAUAUGACGAAGAACCCCGAUUGCGAAGGCAGCUUGCUGCAGCGGAACUGACGCUGAUGCUCGAAAGCGCGGGUAUCGAACAGGAUUAGUUACCCGUGUAGUC
rnacentral:rRNA from 1 species